rnacentral:rRNA from 1 species
GUCCUUUUGAAUUUAAUUUAAGGUUUAACCUGCCCACUGAAAUUUUUUGAAGGGCCGCAGUAAUUUGACUGUGCAAAGGUAGCAUAAUCAUUAGUUUUUUAAUUGAAAGCUUGUAUGAAGGGUUGGACGAGGUAAAUUCUGUCUCUAUUUAAUUUUAUAUAGAAUUUAAUUUUUAAGUUAAAAAGCUUAAAUUUUUUUAAAAGACGAGAAGACCCUAUAGAUCUUUAUAUUAAAAAUAUUAAUUUUAAUUAAGAAUAUUUAAUUUUUUAGUAUUUAUAAUAUUUUAUUGGGGUAAUAAAAAGAUUAAAAUAAUUCUUUUUUUAUUUUAACAUUUAUUUAUGAUUAUAUGAUCCAAUUUUAUUGAUUAAAAGAUUAAGUUACCUUAGGGAUAACAGCGUAAUUUUUUUAGAGAGUUCAUAUCGAUAAAAAAGUUUGCGACCUCGAUGUUGGAUUAAAAAUUAUCUUAGGUGCAGAAGUUUAAGAUUUUGGUCUGUUCGACCAUUAAAUUUUU